AAAAGGACUUCGGUUUGCUUCGGGAUGGACUCGCGUCCAAUUAGCUAGUUGGUGAGGUAACGGCCCACCAAGGCGACGAUCGGUAGCCGGACUGAGAGGUUGAACGGCCACAUUGGGACUGAGACACGGCCCAGACUCCUACGGGAGGCAGCAGUGGGGAAUAUUGGACAAUGGGCGAAAGCCUGAUCCAGCCAUGCCGCGUGAAUGAUGAAGGCCCUAGGGUUGUAAAAUUCUUUCAG
rnacentral:rRNA from 1 species